AACGAACGCUGGCGGCAUGCCUAACACAUGCAAGUCGAACGAGAUCUUCGGGUCUAGUGGCGCACGGGUGCGUAACGCGUGGGAAUCUGCCCUUUGGUUCGGAAUAACAGUUGGAAACGACUGCUAAUACCGGAUGAUGACGAAAGUCCAAAGAUUUAUCGCCAGAGGAUGAGCCCGCGUAGGAUUAGUUAGUUGGUGUGGUAAAGGCGCACCAAGGCGACGAUCCUUAGCUGGUCUGAGAGGAUGAUCAGCGACACUGGGACUGAGACACGGACCAGACUCCUACGGGAGGCAGCAGUGGGGAAUAUUGGACAAUGGGCGAAAGCCUGAUCCAGCAAGGCCGCGUGAGUGAUGAAGGCCUUAGGGUUGUAAAGCUCUUUUACCCGGGAUGAUAAUGACAGUACCGGGAGAAUAAGCUCCGGCUAACUCCGUGCCAGCCGCCGCGGUAACAC
rnacentral:rRNA from 1 species